CUGCUUACUGUUUAGACUGCGUCUGACCCACCCGCGACAAUCGUGCUCCUUUUGUUUUCAAGUGUCACUUCACUCGCGUCUCACGUUUAACUUAUUUUUACUUGAUUGAUCUGAAAAUUCGGAAAUACGGAUUUCCCGCUUUCUAUCUACCUAUCUAUCUUAAUAAGAUCUUCCGAUUCGAUAGUUUGGGGUUUUGCAAAAGCAUGUGCCAAAAUAAUCCUCGCGACUGAAAUCAUUACUAUCAAGCUUCACAACUAAUUUAAUACUUGAAAGUUGGAAAUUACAUCAUUAUAUCAAUUCAUCUGUUUCCCCCAAUAUAAGUGAAAGAGCUGAGAACAAACUAUGUUUAGCAAACUCAUUAAAACUGGAAGGCAACACUUUUUUUAAGCAAGGCAAUCUAAAGGAAGCUAUUCGCCACUACCACAGAGCAUUAUUAUACAUCAAAGGUGUAGAAAGUGAUGGAUCUAAUAUGUUACAAAACUUAAGUGCUGCGUUCACAGAAACAAUGAAAACCAAACAUUUGGAAGAAAAAAUGGAUCCUAACAUCAUUGAAAGGAACACACAACUGAAAAUUGAUUGCUACAAUAAUUUGGCAGCGUGUUUGCUGAAAACUGAACAUCCUGAUUUUGAUAAAAUUGUGUUUUAUUGCGAUGAAGUCAUAAAAUUAACUUCAUGUAAUCCUAAGACUCAUUUUAGAAUGGCGCAAGCCCUUUUUAAACUUGGCGAUUAUAAUCGAGCAUUAGAGUCCUGCCAAAAGUCGCUAGAAAACCAACUUCAACAAGAUUCCCAAGUUAUCAGUUUAAAAACAAGCUGUCUUGCACACCUUGCCAAGCAAACUUCACAGGAGAAAGUUUUGUAUAGUAAAAUGUUAGGAUUGAAAAUGAACAAACAAUAAUUUUAAUAUUGUUAAAAUUACCAAAAAAUUGUAAUAUAAAAGAUUUGUGCGUGGUGUUCAAUACAUACUUUACUACAAGA
rnacentral:misc_RNA from 1 species